AAAUGCGAUAAGUAAUGCGAAUUGCAGAAUUCAGUGAAUCAUCGAAUCUUUGAACGCACAUUGCGCCCGCUAGUAUUCUGGCGGGCAUGCCUGUCUGAGCGUCAUUUCAACCCUCAUUCCCGGCUUCGUGUCGGGGAUGGUGUUGGGGAUCGGCCUCCCGGUUGCGGGCGGCCGGCCCCGAAAUAGAGUGGCGACCACGCCGUAGCCUCCUCUGCGUAGUAGUGAAAACCUCGCAGGCGGAGAGCGGUGCGGCCUGCCGUAAAACCCCCAACUCUUCUAAGGUUGACCUCAGAUCAGGUAGGAAUACCCGCUGAACUUAAGC
rnacentral:misc_RNA from 1 species